ACGCUGGCGGCAGGCCUAACACAUGCAAGUCGAGCGGUAGAGAGAAGCUUGCUUCUCUUGAGAGCGGCGGACGGGUGAGUAAUGCCUAGGAAUCUGCCUGGUAGUGGGGGAUAACGUUCGGAAACGGACGCUAAUACCGCAUACGUCCUACGGGAGAAAGCAGGGGAUCUUCGGGCCUUGCGCUAUCAGAUGAGCCUAGGUCGGAUUAGCUAGUUGGUGAGGUAAUGGCUCACCAAGGCGACGAUCCGUAACUGGUCUGAGAGGAUGAUCAGUCACACUGGAACUGAGACACGGUCCAGACUCCUACGGGAGGCAGCAGUGGGGAAUAUUGGACAAUGGGCGAAAGCCUGAUCCAGCCAUGCCGCGUGUGUGAAGAAGGUCUUCGGAUUGUAAAGCACUUUAAGUUGGGAGGAAGGGCAGUUACCUAAUACGUGAUUGUUUUGACGUUACCGACAGAAUAAGCACCGGCUAACUCUGUGCCAGCAGCCGCGGUAAUACAGAGGGUGCAAGCGUUAAUCGGAAUUACUAGGCGUAAAGCGCGCGUAGGUGGUUUGUUAAGUUGGAAGUGAAAUCCCCGGGCUCAACCUGGGAACUGCAUUCAAAACUGACUGACUAGAGUAUGGUAGAGGGUGGUGGAAUUUCCUGUGUAGCGGUGAAAUGCGUAGAUAUAGGAAGGAACACCAGUGGCGAAGGCGACCACCUGGACUGAUACUGACACUGAGGUGCGAAAGCGUGGGGAGCAAAC
rnacentral:rRNA from 1 species